UACGUAGGGGGCUAGCGUUGUCCGGAUUUAUUGGGCGUAAAGAGCGUGUAGGCGGCCAGGUAGGUCUGGUGUGAAAACUCGAGGCUUAACCUCGAGAUGUCAUCGGAAACCAUCUGGCUAGAGUCCGGAAGAGGAGAGUGGAAUUCCUGGUGUAGCGGUGAAAUGCGCAGAUAUCGGGAGGAACACCAAUGGCGAAGGCAGCUCGCUGGGACGUUACUGACGCUGAGACGCGAAAGCGUGGGGAGCAAACAGG
rnacentral:rRNA from 1 species